rnacentral:rRNA from 1 species
UACGAAGGGAGCUAGCGUUGUUCGGAAUCACUGGGCGUAAAGCGCACGUAGGCGGAUGUGUCAGUCAGGGGUGAAAUCCGGAGCUCAACUUCGGAACUGCCUUUGAUACAGCACAUCUGGAGUCCGGAAGAGGUGGGUGGAAUUCCUAGUGUAGAGGUGAAAUUCGUAGAUAUUAGGAAGAACACCGGUGGCGAAGGCGGCCCACUGGUCCGGUACUGACGCUGAGGUGCGAAAGCGUGGGGAGCAAACAGG